GUUAACGGGGUAUACCUGGAGAAGGUGCCCCGCUUGCGGUCGGUUUACAGGUGGUGCAUGGUUGUCGUCAGCUCGUGUCGUGAGAUGUUGGGUUGAGUCCCGCAACGAGCGCAACCCUCGUUCUAUGUCGCCAGCACGUGAUGGUGGGGACUCAUAGGAGACUGCCGGGGUCAACUCGGAGGAAGGUGGGGACGACGUCAAAUCAUCAUGCCCCUUAUGUCUUGGGCUUCACGCAUGCUACAAUGGCCGGUACAAAGGGUUGCGAUACUGUGAGGUGGAGCUAAUCCCAAAAAGCCGGUCUCAGUUCGGAUUGGGGUCUGCAACUCGACCCCAUGAAGUCGGAGUCGCUAGUAAUCGCAGAUCAGCAACGCUGCGGUGAAUACGUUCCCGGGCCUUGUACACACCGAAUCGCCAAACUGUAC
rnacentral:rRNA from 1 species